GACGUAGGGCGCGAGCGUUGUCCGGAUUUAUUGGGCGUAAAGGGCGCGUAGGCGGCAAUUCAAGUCAUCUGUGAAAUCUCCGGGCUUAACUCGGAACGGUCAGAUGAUACUGCUUUGCUAGAGUGCGGAAGGGGCAAUCGGAAUUCUACGGUGUAGCGGUGAAAUGCGUAGAUAUCGAGAGGAACACCUGAGGUGAAGACGGGUUGCUGGGCCGACACUGACGCUGACAGCGCGAAAGCCAGGGGAGCAAACGGG
rnacentral:rRNA from 1 species